AAAUCAACAGUCACUGAAGCUGUAUUGGGGGCUGAGGGUAUGGUAAAAUAUACACAAGUACUUAGCUUUUGCUGAGAGCACCAUUCUUUUCUGGUUCUGGAGGUGUGAGUUGGUUCAUGAGGUGUGAGUUGGCUGGGCAGCUGGCUGCUUCUACCUGAGGAAACUAUGGCUGAAUGCAACUACCAGCCCACUGCAGCCACUCCAGGGAAUGGUGCCUGAGGGAUCCCGGCAAUUCAGGUCCGGUAACUCCUUUCUGCUUCUGAACCAUCUCUCCCUUCCCCUGCCACUCAGUCUGUUUUCUGACUUUGACUUAGAUGUUCAGGGCUCCUAGCUUGUCAUAAAUAUAAUAGUUUCACUUGAUUUUUCAGGUCUUUGUUGUAAGAGGGAUUGCCCAAACAUCUGGCUGUUCCACCAUCUUGGCCCUGCCUCAGCUUUAUUCUUAAUAUCUCUCAAAUCUUGCCACUUUUUCAAUCUGGAUGUCCUGUUGCCACUCUUGUUCCAGCCCUUAUCAUUUUACUUGAAUCAUCUAGGGACCUCCUUAGUGCUUGUCAUGAGAGGGAAUCAACUCCACAAUAACUAGUAUGGCAUGGUAUGUGCAGUGCAAUGGGUUUUUCAUUAUAUAUGGCCUUUCUGGUCUCAGGUUUACAAUUCUGCCAAAAAUGAUUAGUGAUUGGUCUGUUUUAAGCACCUUGUGGGGAUGUAAUCCAUACUGAAGGUUGUGGUCUUUGAUCUUCAUCAGUAAGUGCUUCAAGUCCUCUUUAGUUUCAGCAAGCAAGGUUGUGUCAUCUGCAUAAGGCAGGUUGUUAAUGAGUCUUCCUCCAAUCCUGAGGCCCCGUUCUUUUUCACGUAGUCCAGCUUCUCGUAUUAUUUGCUCAGCAUACAGAUUGAAUAGAUAUGGUGAAAGGAUACAAUGCUGACGCACACCUUUCCUGACUUUACACAGUAUCCUUUUGUUCUGUUUGAACAACUGCCUCUUGGUUCCUCAUGAGCAUGAUUAAGUCUUCUGGAAUUAUUCUUCACAAUGUUAUCCAUAAUUUGUUAUGGUCCACACAGUCGAAUGCCCUUAUGUAGUCAAUAAAACACAGGUAACCAUCUUCCUGGUAUUCUCUACUUUCAGCCAGGAUCCAUCUGACAUCAGCAAUGACAUCCUCUUCUGAAUCUGACUUGAAUUUCUGGCAGUUCCCUGUCGAUAUCUUGCUGCAGCCACUUUUGAAUGAUCUUCAGCAAAAUUUUACUUGCAUGUGAUAUUAACGAUGUUAUUCGAUAAUUUCAACAUUCAGUUGGAUCACUUUUCUUUGGAAUAGCCAUAAAUAUGGAUCUCUUCCAGUCACUUGGCCAGAUGCCUAUCCGGGAACCCUGGGCCAGGGAGAAUGUGCGCUGGAUUAGAAGGCAGAAGCCCACAGCCCACUAACUCUCUAGCUCCAAGGCUAUGUUUUAUCACGUGCAGGCCCCUCUACUGUACCAGGUGGGCUCUAUGUCCACCAACAGCCAGCUGCGCUUGUUCCCAAGCAGACUUGUCUGAUGUGAACUUGUUACUGUAAUUGCAUACAUCCGGUACUACGUAAAGCUGAGGACACAGGACUGUGGAAAGACAGCUGUUUCUCUGAAAAUUAAGUUGAAAGACUUGAUAAAGGUGACUUGCUUUUGCAUCAAGAUUGGAUUUAUCGUCACAGAGGCCUUGGCGCCAUAUGAAAAGGAUGUUCAAUGAAUGUGACAUAUAUGUUUUAGGUUAAAGUUUUAAUAAAACA